rnacentral:lncRNA from 1 species
AAAGAAAUUAGAAAAUGUUGAUAAGUUGCUGUUUUAGAGAUGAAGAGUCAUGGAACCUUUGCACUGAAAGGAACCUAGGAGAGCAUCUAGCCCAACACUCCCGUUUCACAGAAGACUCACCAGAGGCUCAGAGAUGUUAAGAGAUUUCUCAAGGUCAUGUGUAGUUGGUGGUAAAUCAGGGCUGCAAUCCAAUUCCAUGACUUCAAGUUUGUCAUUCCUCCUGGCUUCCCCACUGGUAUCAGCCUUAGUUUCAUCCUCAGGCUAGUCCCCCGCAUGGUCACACGUGCAUCGCGGACUUCCCCUGCCGCCUCCAUUUAGGUCACGUGCUUACCCCUAGACCAAUAACGGCUACCAGGGAAGACCACGCUCUGAUGCACUUACCCUGACCACCUCCCACCUCCUGAGCUGGGGCUGGGUCUGCAGGGGGGCAGAUACCUGAACAAAACUGGAGUUUUGAUAACAACAAAGAAAAUACAAUUUUACUUAAAGUGAUCCAAGGGGACACUGAGUCAGCCAUUCAUGAAGCUGAACAUCAUUUCAAGGGACGCUGGCUCCGGUAUCAUGGUGAACGCCAAGGUGAAGAGCAGCCGCAUGAGAUCCCAAAGGAAAGCCCGGGAGUCACACAAGUGGAGUACAGCAGCAAACCCCCUCCACCGCCUGCCCUUGGCUUUGGUCUUGCCAGGGAACAGCUGAUGCCGACUAGAUGACGCAACCAGGAAGUGAAUAUCCUGUCUGCUCCUUGUUCUGUGCUGUCUGUGUGUCCUAGCUUGCCAUCCCAAAUCAAGGCAUCCCUUGAAAUCCCCUGGGUCCAAGCAUCCAGAUGCUCAGUGAACGCAGUGCUCUAACUCCAUCUUCCACUUUCCAUUAAGAAGUCAAUGACUCUUAUUCAAUACAACUCCAUCUUCUGCUAACCCCUAAAAGGAAUUUACAUUCUGCUCAUUUCACUUCCCAUUAUAUUGUAUUAAUUUUCCCAUCAUUAAACCUUUUAAACCCAAU